rnacentral:rRNA from 1 species
GACGAACGCUGGCGGCGUGCUUAACACAUGCAAGUCGAACGCUGAAGCUCAGCUUUUGUUGGGUGGAUGAGUGGCGAACGGGUGAGUAACACGUGAGUAACCUGCCCCCUUCUUUGGGGUAACGCCCGGAAACGGGUGCUAAUACUGGAUAUUCACUGGUCUUCGCAUGGGGGUUGGUGGAAAGGGUUUUUCUGGUGGGGGAUGGGCUCGCGGCCUAUCAGCUUGUUGGUGGGGUGAUGGCCUACCAAGGCUUUGACGGGUAGCCGGCCUGAGAGGGUGACCGGUCACAUUGGGACUGAGAUACGGCCCAGACUCCUACGGGAGGCAGCAGUGGGGAAUAUUGCACAAUGGGCGCAAGCCUGAUGCAGCGACGCCGCGUGAGGGAUGGAGGCCUUCGGGUUGUGAACCUCUUUCGCUCAUGGUCAAGCCGCAAGAAUGGUUGUGGUGAGGGUAGUGGGUAAAGAAGCGCCGGCUAACUACGUG